rnacentral:sRNA from 1 species
AAUUUAAAAUGUCUAAUGUGACCUAUACUUAAUAUAUGGAGUAUAUGAAAACUAAAUUUAAGAGGACAAGAAAAAUCUUUUUUUUAACCAAAGUAUCAUUAUCUUUGUUAUGGCAUAGAGUGGUAUUUUAUACAUAUCUCAUUUUACAGUAAAAACAUUUUAUGUACAACUGUAGAGAGAUAGCUGCACAGAUAGCUCCAACUUAAAUUAGAAAAUAUUUUCUCUAUAGAAAAUAAUAAAAACACCAUUUCCCAGGCUAGCCCAACAAGUUUAUUUAAACCAAAUAGCUGAAUACAUAUACAUUUAUAAAUAUGGUUUGAAUUCUGGGAUCCAGGAGAAACUUUAGUUUCAUUUAUUGAAACGGCCAUGUUUUUCUUAAAAUUAUGUGAAGAGAAAUUCCUAUAAAUCUCCCUCUUACUCUUGGUUUAUGUCUAGGUCAGAAAAAUCUGUUCACACAAAAAAGGGAAGAGUAAUCUUUAUUACUUGUAUGUUAAUUUUAUACAUUGUCCUUAUUUCCUCAAAGGCCAAAGAAGCUAAACGACUAAAAGAAUUCUUAGAAGACUAUGAUGAUGAUAGAGAUGACCCCAAAUAUUACAGAGGAAGUGCUCUUCAGAAAAGGUUGCGUGAUAGAGAAAAGGAAAUGGAAGCAGAUGAACGAGAUAGGAAGAGAGAGAAGGAGGAGCUUGAGGAAAUCAGGCAGCGCCUUCUGGCAGAAGGGCAUCCAGAUCCAGAUGCAGAGCUCCAGAGGAUGGAACAAGAGGCUGAGAGGCGCAGGCAGCCACAAAUAAAGCAAGAGCCAGAAUCAGAAGAGGAGGAAGAAGAAAAGCAAGAAAAAGAAGAAAAACGAGAAGAACCCAUGGAAGAGGAAGAGGAGCCAGAGCAAAAGCCUUGUCUGAAACCUACUCUGAGGCCCAUCAGCUCUGCUCCAUCUGUUUCCUCUGCCAGUGGCAAUGCAACACCUAACACUCCUGGGGAUGAGUCUCCCUGUGGUAUUAUUAUUCCUCAUGAAAACUCACCAGAUCAACAGCAACCUGAGGAGCAUAGGCCAAAAAUAGGACUAAGUCUUAAACUGGGUACGUUAGCAUUUCCUUCCUUCUUUAUUUUCUUCCCUUCACCCCUGCAAAUACCUGUAUUGUGCUUUAAAGAAAAAAAUUUAUAUUUGUGCUUGGUUAGGUAGAUAGAAGAUUACUAAAAAAUGCCUUUCUAGCUCACGAUUGUUUUCAUAGUUUUACUAGUGCUCCUAUAUCUGCAGCUGCCUCGAGUUCUGAGAAGAAGUGAAAAGUUUAAUUUUCUAGCACUUGUGAGUAGUGAGUUAUUUUUUACAGUUGGGAUCUUUCUCUAAGAUUUGUGGAAGUAUAUUUUGCAUUGCUUUUGAGGGAUGGUGGGUUAUAAAAUGAAACAUUUGGAAAUUAAGUCAUCUUGCUAAGAGAGUGUUUUUACUGUAGGUGCUUCCAAUAGUCCUGGUCAGCCUAAUUCUGUGAAGAGAAAGAAACUACCUGUAGAUAGUGUCUUUAACAAAUUUGAGGAUGAAGACAGUGAUGACGUACCCCGAAAAAGGAAACUGGUUCCCUUGGAUUAUGGUGAAGAUGAUAAAAAUGCAACCAAAGGCACUGUAAACACUGAAGAAAAGCGUAAACACAUUAAGAGUCUCAUUGAGAAAAUCCCUACAGCCAAACCUGAGCUCUUCGCUUAUCCCCUGGAUUGGUCUAUUGUGGAUUCUAUACUGAUGGAACGUCGAAUUAGACCAUGGAUUAAUAAGAAAAUCAUAGAAUAUAUAGGUGAAGAAGAAGCUACAUUAGUUGAUUUUGUUUGUUCUAAGGUUAUGGCUCAUAGUUCACCCCAGAGCAUUUUAGAUGAUGUUGCCAUGGUACUUGAUGAAGAAGCAGAAGUUUUUAUAGUCAAAAUGUGGAGAUUAUUGAUAUAUGAAACAGAAGCCAAGAAAAUUGGUCUUGUGAAGUAAAACUUUUUAUAUUUAGAGUUCCAUUUCAGAUUUCUUCUUCACCACCCUUUUAAGGACUUUGAAUUUUUCUUUGUCUUUGAAGACAUUGUGAGAUCUGUAAUUUUUUUUUUAUUGUAGAAAAUGUGAAUUUUUUGGUCCUCUAAUUUGUUGUUGCCCUGUGUACUCCCUUGGUUGUAAAGUCAUCUGAAUCCUUGGUUCUCUUUAUACUCACCAGGUACAAAUUACUGGUAUGUUUUAUAAGCCGCAGCUACUGUACACAGCCUAUCUGAUAUAAUCUUGUUCUGCUGAUUUGUUUCUUGUAAAUAUUAAAACGACUCCCCAAUUAUUUUGCAGAAUUGCACUUAAUAUUGAAAUGUACUGUAUAGGAACCAACAUGAGCAAUUUUAAUUGAAAACACCAGUCAUAAACUAUUACCACCCCCACUCUCUUUUGAUCAGAAAUGGCAAGCCCUUGUGAAGGCAUGGAGUUUAAAAUUGGAAUGCAAAAAUUAGCAGACAAUCCAUUCCUACUGUAUUUCUGUAUGAAUGUGUUUGUGAAUGUAUGUGUAAAAGUCUUUCUUUUCCCUAAUUUGCUUUGGUGGGGUCCUUAAAACAUUUCCCAACUAAAGAAUAGAAUUGUAAAGGAAAAGUGGUACUGUUCCAACCUGAAAUGUCUGUUAUAAUUAGGUUAUUAGUUUCCCAGAGCAUGGUAUUCUCGUGUCGUGAGCAAUGUGGUUUGCUAACUGGAUGGGGUUUUCUUAUUAAUAAGCUGGCUGCUUCAGCUUCUCUUUUAAAGGAAUGUGGAUCAUAGUGGUUUUUCCUUUUAAUUUUAUUGCUCAGAAAUGAGGCAUAUCCUAAAAAUCCUGGAGAGCUGUAUUUAAUGCAUUUUUGCACUAAUUGGUCCUUAGUUUAAUUCUGUUGUAUCCGUUUAUUUAACAAAAAAUUCAUCAUACCAAAAAGUGUAAGUGAAAAACCCCUUUAAAACAAAACAAAAAAAUGAAAUAAAAUUAGGCAAAUUGACAGACAGUGAGAGUUUUACAAACAUGAUAGGUAUUCUGCUCGGCAAUUUGUAAGUUUACAUGUUAUUUAAGGAUAAAGGUAAAUCAUUCAAGGCAGUUACCAACCACUAACUAUUUGUUUUCAUUUUUGUCUUGUAGAAGGUUUAUAUCUUGUUUUACCUUGGCUCAUUAGUGUUUAAAAAUGUACCGACGAUGUGCUUGGAGAAAUUCCUGGGGCUUUCUUCGUUGUAGAUCAGAAUUUCACCAGGGAGUAAAAUUACCUGAAAACGUAAGAAGUUUUAAACAGCUUUUCACACAAAUUAGAUGCAACUGUUCCCAUGUCUGAGUACUUAUUUAAAAGAAAGGUAAAGAUUGGCCUGUUAGAAAAGCAUAAUGUGAGCUUUGGAUUACUGGAUUUUUUUUUUUUAAAACACACCUGGAGAGGACAUUUGAAAACACUGUUCUUACCCUCGAACCCUGAUGUGGUUCCAUUAUGUAAAUAUUUCAAAUAUUAAAAAUGUAUAUAUUUGA